UGUGGCAGAAUAGUGCAAUAAAUUUAAGCUUUAUAAAUAAAGAUCAUCUUUCCUUAGA
rnacentral:tRNA from 1 species